GAUGAACGCUGGCGGCGUGCCUAAUACAUGCAAGUCGAGCGAACAGAUGUGGAUCUUGCUCCGCUGACGUUAGCGGCGGACGGGUGAGUAACACGGGGAGAACCUACCUAUAAGACUGGGAUAACUUCUAGAAACCGGAGCGAAUACCGGAUAAUAUAUUGCACCGCAUGGUGCAAUAGUGAAAGACGGUUUUGCUGUCGCUGAUAGAUGGAUCCGCGCCGCAUUAGCUAGUUGGUACGGUAACGGCUUACCAAGGCAACGAUGCGUAGCCGACCUGAGAGGGGGAUAGGCCCCACUGGAACUGAGACACGGUCCAGACUCCUACGGGAGGAAGGAGUAGGGUAUCAUCCGCAAUGGGAGAAAGCUUGACGGAGCAACGCCGCGUGAGUGAUGAAGGCAUUCGGAUCGUAAAACUGUGUUAUUAGGGAACAACAACUGUGUAAGCAACUAAGCAAGUAUUGACGGUACCUAAUCAGAAAGCAACGGCUAACUACGUG
rnacentral:rRNA from 1 species